AAAAUUCUUUUUAAUGAAAGCACACAUCACCUACCUUAAUCAGCAAAAAAAAACCAAAAAGUAGUACCAAUAAAUUGAAUUUAGGAGAGGUUAAAAUCAAAUUGCCUUUUUGUAGCUUAACCAAGAAGAAAUAAUAAUUUUGUCAAAAAAAAGAAGAAAUAAUAAUACAUUAAAACAAUGAUACGUAUACGAUCCAUUCAAAAAAAAAAAAAUGAUACGUAUACGAAAUAGAAGCCCAAAAAAAAGUCAGCUUUUCACAUGAUCUCCGAAUCCAUAGGCCCAAACCUUCCGCAAGUUUCAUAACCCACAUUAAUACGUAAAGUACCAUUCAUUUUAUUCACCGCCCAUAAAAUUUCUCAUCCUAUGUUCGUUUUUUUAACCCACAAUUUAAGCCCAUUUUCUCUCUCCUCUCUUUCUCUCUCUUUUUCUGCCGUCGAUUUACCAGAUCUCUUUCGCCGAUUAUCGUCUCCGAUCGCCGAUUUUUUGGUUUUUGGUUGAUCUAACAUACAAAGAUGACUACUGAUGAGCAAGAUCAAGAUGUCAUCCGGUGGGGUUUGAAUCUUCUUGAUUUUGGACCUCUGUUCAAUAGUACAUAUGGUGGGGAUUAUAAUACAGAAGAUGGGAGCAGUUAUCAUCAACAAUAUAUGAGAGAGUACAAUUAUGAUACAGCGUGUAAUUCCCACUGUAACUAUGUAGAAAGUGAUGCUAUACUUGCGCAUAGUCUACAAGAAGAAUUCUCACGAUUAGAAGUUGAUAAUGCAGCUCAAUCUUCGCAUGCAGAACAGCAGCAGUUUCAUUCAUCCAAUGUUUCAUCAGACUGGCUUAUACCAUCUUCUGCCAAUUACUGUCCUGUUCUUGAGAAUACCCAGGAGGCAGAUGAUACAGGACACUCAAGUUCAUGUUCCAGCCCAGGAGAAAGGUCCAAUGAUGGUGAAGAUUAUUCGUAUUCUCUGGAAUUUGCAGACGAGUCUGCACUUGAUGGAGAACUGGGGAAGAGGUUAAAUCAAAUGAUCCCUGUGCCACAUGUCCCUCGAAUUAAUGGGGAAAUACCUUCAAUGGAUGAAGCAACUUCAGAUCAUCAAAGACUACUAGAUAGAUUGCAGUUGUAUGAUUUGGUUGAGCGCAAGGUCCAGGGGGAUGGCAAUUGCCAGUUUCGUGCUUUGUCAGAUCAAUUCUAUCGCACCCCAGAGCACCACAAGUUUGUGAGGCAACAGGUUGUCACUCAGCUCAAGUCAGAUUCAGAGGUUUACGAGGGAUAUGUGCCCAUGGAGUAUGGUGAAUACUUAAACAAGAUGUCAAAGAGUGGUGAAUGGGGAGAUCAUGUCACCUUGCAGGCAGCUGCUGACUCGUAUGGUGUUAAGAUAUUCCUCAUUACUUCUUUCAAGGACACCUGUUAUAUGGAGAUUAUUCCAAAGGUUCAGAAGUCAAAGCGAGUCAUCUUUCUGAGCUUUUGGGCAGAAGUGCACUACAAUUCAAUCUAUCCGCAAGGAGACGAGGAAAUGCAAUGAAUUGGAGUGUCCAUUCAAUAUCUCUUGGUUGUUUAUGAGACUAAAGAUCAAGAGUUGCCGCCGCCCUGGGAGAUGAAAAAGAAGAAAAGAUGGUGGCUUUUCAGAAACAAUUGAGGAGGCCGGUUAUAUAUUGAUGCUUUUUAAUACUUCUAAUUUAUCUGUAUAUAUGGGUCUAGAGCAGCAAUGCAAGCAUCGCAUUUUAUUAAUAAUCUCUUAUUCUUUCUUUGUAUUUCUCUGUUUGCGGCCCUGGAGAAUAUUGUGCAGGUGAUGGGAAUUAGCUUGGAACAUAAACAUAAUCAUAAACAUAUAUAUAAAGGCUGGCAUGCUUUUUGAUUUCGCAUGCCAUUUCGGUUUCA